rnacentral:rRNA from 1 species
CCUACGGGAGGCAGCAGUAGGGAAUCUUCCGCAAUGGACGAAAGUCUGACGGAGCAACGCCGCGUGAACGAUGAAGGCCUUCGGGUCGUAAAGUUCUGUUGUUAGGGAAGAACAAGUGCUAGUUGAAUAAGCUGGCACCUUGACGGUACCUAACCAGAAAGCCACGGCUAACUACGUGCCAGCAGCCGCGGUAAUACGUAGGUGGCAAGCGUUGUCCGGAAUUAUUGGGCGUAAAGCGCGCGCAGGCGGUUUCUUAAGUCUGAUGUGAAAGCCCCCGGCUCAACCGGGGAGGGUCAUUGGAAACUGGGAAACUUGAGUGCAGAAGAGGAAAGUGGAAUUCCAAGUGUAGCGGUGAAAUGCGUAGAGAUUUGGAGGAACACCAGUGGCGAAGGCGACUUUCUGGUCUGUAACUGACGCUGAGGCGCGAAAGCGUGGGGAGCAAACAGGAUUAGAUACCCUGGUAGUCCACGCUGUAAACGAUGAGUGCUAAGUGUUAGAGGGUUUCCGCCCUUUAGUGCUGAAGUUAACGCAUUAAGCACUCCGCCUGGGGAUACGGUCGCAAGACUGAAACUUAAGGAAUUGACGGCUGAGACGNGCGAGCGACACGAGGGAGAGG